rnacentral:misc_RNA from 1 species
CUCUGUUGUGCCACUGGCCGCCUGAUCCGCCGCCGCCGCGUCUCCACGCGUCGUUGGCUGCCUGAUCCGCCGCCGCGCCUCCACGCGCCGUCGACCCGCCAGCAGGCCGCUCCCUUCCUCUUCCCCUGCCCUGUGCGCUGUGCAGCACCCGUCGUCGCGUCGUCCACCUCGUCCCUGACUGCACUGACGCCCAGCGGCGCCUCCUAUCUUCAAGCUUUGCCCGUUGCCGACGUCAAACUCCCCUGCCAGGUUCGGCUCAGGCUCCUGCCUGAUUGGACUUUUCUUGGUGCCUUCCUUCUUCGUCGCCUUCGUUGGAUUUGUCGAUGCCGCGACUUUCUGGGCUGGAAUGGAUCCACCGCUGCCACAACCUUUCGGCUAGAUCCGUCCUGCCUUUGGUCGGAUCAUCGU